GACGAACGCUGGCGGCGCGCCUAAUACAUGCAAGUCGAGCGGACGAAUCGAAAGCUUGCUUUUGAUUCGUUAGCGGCGGACGGGUGAGUAACACGUGGGCAACCUGCCCUGUAGACGGGGAUAACACCGAGAAAUCGGUGCUAAUACCGGAUAACACGAAAUGUCGCAUGACGUUUCGUUGAAAGACGGCGCAAGCUGCCGCUACAGGAUGGGCCCGCGGCGCAUUAGCUAGUUGGUGAGGUAACGGCUCACCAAGGCAACGAUACGUAGCCGACCUGAGAGGGUGAUCGGCCACACUGGGACUGGGACACGGCCCAGACUCCUACGGGAGGCAGCAGUAGGGAAUCUUCCGCAAUGGACGAAAGUCUGACGGAGCAACGCCGCGUGAGCGAAGAAGGCCUUCGGGUCGUAAAGCUCUGUUGUUAGGGAAGAACAAGUAACGCAGUAACUGGCGUUACCGUGACGGUACCUAACGAGAAAGCCACGGCUAACUACGUG
rnacentral:rRNA from 1 species